AGAAACAGAGUAAAAAAC
rnacentral:sRNA from 1 species